UCAUUUAUUUGACUAAUAUACCGCCCAAUUUCGAAAUUCACUCAUAUAUGUUGGGUACAAUUGUUUUUUUUUUUUUUUUGCAUGGUUUGGUUCAAUUAAAAAUCUUGCUUUAAUCUUUCUAAGUCUCAAUCCUUUCUUCUUUUCCUUGACAAAUUAAUGUUUGAGUCAUUUAGCAUUGUUGUUUUGAUUCAAAUCAUUUUCUAUGGAAAAAAACAAAGAAAUUAUCAAAGAGAAGAAAGGUUGAUUUCAAAUGCAUAGUUACGCAAGGGUAAAUUUCUUUCUACAAAAUACUUACAUUAAAUUGACUACAGUUCUUACGGUUUAUGAUUGAAUCUUAUGUGGUUGAACUUAAUUUCUUUUAUAUUGUGUGUUUUUUCAUUAUGACUCUUUGUUAAUAUAAUUUCUUCUCUUUUGUGCUUGAAAAUAUUUAAUUGUGGAAAUUUUGCACAAUACUAUUACAAGAUAAUGGAGCCAGUCAACAUACGAUUGUAUGUUUUAUCACUAAAAACUACAAAACUGAAAACAAACAAUUAGGCCUUAGCUUGCACCCAAAUGUAGAAGAGGCUUGUUAUUUUGAAACAGCCAACUGGAUUAGAAACGAGUUAGGCUAUGAUGAUGUAGGUAGAAUUUGGCACAAGCGAUAUGGUAAUACAUUGUUUGUAGGUAGGACAUAAAUCAAGGAUGAUAAGAGCAUCCCAAAUUUCCCUGAAAGCCUUGAAAAUGAUGGUUGGUACCAUAUUUAUGUUGUUCAUGGGGGUGAUGAUAGAGGUGAAGAAAUAUUCAUGAAAAAAUCUAAAAAGAAAUUUACUAGUGAUGAUGUGGUAAAUAAUAUAGAGAUGAUGAUUUGUGCAGAUUGGUUGAUGACAUGGACAUGAAUAAGGGUGAUGUGGGAGAUAAGGUUGGUGGUGAUAUGGAGAGUGCAAGUGGUCAUGUAAAAAGAUGACCGCCACUAAAGGAGAAGGGUGUAAAUGUUCCCUUAUACCUAAACCCUAGAUCUAAAAGACACUCUAGGGUAGUCCUAACAACCCAGAAAACUACUCAAACCCUUAUUCAAUGUUCUAACCCACCUUAGUUUUACAUUAAAUUAGAAGUAUGUUAAUUUACUUACCUGAUAAUUCAAUUGAUUUGAUUAAAUGCUUUUUCUUGUGCAAUUGAGCUUUCAAGAGGUUUUUAUUUUGUUGGUGAAGAUGAGGAGGAAACAUUAGAGGGAGAAUAAGAGUUCAAUUAGGAAAGAAAUUGCAAUUGAAGAUGGGUGAGGAAAUAGAGAAAAUUAAGUAUCCAUGUGCAAUUCAUGUGCCCAGUCAACCAUAUAAUUGACAGUCAACUGAAGACAAAACGUUAGUUGGUUGUAUUUCGAAAAAAAAAUUGUUAGUUAUAUAUUGGCAAAACAUUUAAUAUUAAGUACCUUUUGAAAAAAAAUAUUAGGUACUUUUUUGUAAUAUUUUUAUUUUAAAAUUAUUUUUAUAUCUUUUUACACGAUCUAUACUUGGCAUGCUUUUCAAGCUAGUUCAAUAUAAUAACUAUUAUAGAGAACAUACCAUCCUAUAUCACAAAACAAAUUUAGGUAUUGUGUAUGUGCUAUCAAAAUUACACAUCCUUACCCGUUCUCACACAUCCAUCACCAAUCAUGGUAACAAAGCAAUGUUUUAGAUUCAUUAACCCAUAUAGCUGGAAUUAUAGUGUUAAAAUUAUUAUUAUUAUUAUUAUUAUUAUUAUUAUUAUUAUUAUUAUUAUUAUUAUUGGAAAAUGAAAAUUUUUAUUAAUCCUGAAACAAAAUAGUACAAGAUAAUACCCCAAAACAAGAGAACCACCUCCUUAAUUCGCAUCAGCAUGAGAGAGAAGCACACCAUCUUGGAAGGGUUUCCCUACUCUCACUCUUCAUAUGCAUUAGGAAAGAGUAGGACACUAGAAAAGACAAAAUAAUUAUCUAUACAUCAGAAGCUAUAUAAUCAAAACUCAAAAAGACUCCUAAUCCAAGGGCGUUGGAUAUCAAUGCAACACCUUUGAUUAGUUCGCAAAACUCUAUUCUUGACUAUAAGUUUCACCUGUUGAAAAACCUUAUUAACCAUAGGAACUUUGAAAUUCCUAAAAUCAUCAUUUUGAGCACACCAAAUCUCAUAGGUAAGACUAAAUAAUGCAAUAGUAGUAAUCUUGCUCUUAUAUGUGUCACACUUCCACUUUCUACAUGUAAAAUCGGCAAGAGAAGCAAUUAUCCUUUAAUACUCAACCAUUGUGCACCCUUAUUCAAGCAGAUCUUUAACUUUACAUAUAUUCUUGAAAGUCCAACUUGAUGUUAUUGGAGCAUUGAAAACCCUCCGAUUCUCACCCUUAUUUUAAACACCAUGUACCUAUCUAACCCACAUAGAUUCCCUCAUAGAGGACAUAUGCCAUUUCCCACAGCAGCUAGAUUCCAAGCUUCUAAAUUCUGAAUACCCAAACUACCCAGCUUCUUUGGAGUACAAACCUUAGCCUAAUUCAUUUUACCAGGAGCAUCAAAAUCAGCUUUUCCAUGCCAGAGAUUUGAUUUACAUAUUGCAUUUACCUGUUUAAGCACCUUCUUAGGCAACACAAAAAUUAACUCCGAAAGUUUGUGAUAUUCAUCAAAACAACAGAAGCAACUUGCAUUUGAGCUGCAUAAUAGAGAUUUCUGAAUUGCCACGAUCUAAUCUUAGAUAUAUUUUUAACUGCAAUGUGUUCUCACUUAACUGCAUAAAAACGUUUAGAAGACAAAGGAACACCCAAAUAACAAAAAGGCAUAGAACUCAAAGGAAUGUUCUAUGAAUCCACAACAUACUAUUUCAAAGAAUCAGGGAUACCUACAAGAUUCACAUCAAAUUUUGUACAAUCUGCAACUAAACCAGAGGAAUCCACAAAUAUUUCCAAUUAAGUUAGAAGAAUUCUAACAUAACCUAAAUCAAGAUUCUAAAGUUUAUUUGAUUCUCAUUUCAUGAAAUUUGAGUUAUACAUUAUGACUAAGGAUGAUCAGAAGUGUAUGUAUAAUUUCGGGGACGAAAUUAUUUUAAGUUGGGGAGAAUGAAAUAGGCUACAUUUAAUAAAGCUUAAUUAUAAGUGAUUAAGCUGAUUGGGGUUAUCAAGUAUGUUAAUUCGAGUAACAAUAUUAUUAUUUUGAUAAUAUUGACUCAAGUAUUUCAUUUGUUAAUAUUUUCAAGAAAAAGGUAUAUUUUAUUUAAUGUAUAAAAUUCGUACAAAGAAUACUUCGAUAAAAGUGUAUUUUGAUUAUAUUUUAUUAAUUGAUUACUAUCUUAUCUUUAUAAAAAUAAAUUUAAAUAAAGUAUUGAAAAAUAAAUUCCUAAAUGCAAUCCUUAUUCAUACUACCAAUUACGAGAUAUUACUUAUUUCAUAAAUCGCCUAUUGUACCCUUACAACACGUCUUAUUUAAGACUGUCUUACGAUGAGACGGCUUUAAUAGAAUUUUAUGGGUCAAAGCUAAAAAUAAAAACCCAUUUUACCACAAAUAAACCGACAUACCUCUUCUCCAUAUCUUUCUUUAUCCUCAUCCAUUACCCUUACUCCUUCAUUUUCAAACACAAAAACAAAUCAGCUACCUUACUCCUUUCUCCCUCACUCACGGCUGACCCACGAACACCACCAUCAACCGGCAGCCCGGCCACGAGCUUCACCACCAACAGCAACCACUUCUCCUCCUUCCUUUAUUGUUGUUCAUCAAGAUUGAAAGUUGAAGGGUCCUCUAAUGGUGAUUGAGGGUCUAUCUCUUACAGGGGGUAGAUCCACUUUCAGGUUGCCAUCUUUAGUGCAGAUGGAUGUGCUGCUCAUUUAUGUGUCAUGUGUUGCGAUAGCAAGGACAUCGUUUUCAAAAGGUUAACUUAUAAUGAUAUUUUGACAAAUCAUGUCUUUGUAUAAAAGAAAUAGAUAUUUUAUAAUGUAUUAAUUUAGUUUAUAACUGGGUUGUAAGUAAUUGUAUUACAGUUAUAUAAAGUUUUUAAAUACUCUGAUAUUGGUUGCUGUGGUUGUCGAACCACAGGUCGGAUUCAGCCCAGACUUCUAUAAGUCUUCCGCUGUGCUUUGUAGACAAUAAUAAUUUAUUGUUUACGCUGGUUUGGGCUGUUUCAAUUGGUUUAACAGACCACUAGGCGUGUAAUGUUUUCUACCAUAUUGCUUUAUAAUAUCUUGACCUAAAAAAUUAUUAUGCAUAAUGUUGCGCCCCUCCACAAAAGCACCCUGAGAAGGAUUAAUGAUGUGACCAAGAACUAGUUUGAGUCUGCUGCAAAUUAGUUUAGUAAUACAUUUAUACAAAGUAUGACAACAAGUAAUUGGUCUAUAGUCACCUGGAUUGUUAGGAUUAGGGACUUUGGUAAUGACAUGAACAGUAGUAGUGUUCUAAGCUUGAAGAAGUUUUCCAUUUUUGAGAAAUUGUUAAAUUGCAUCAACUACAUCUAAACCAGUAAUUGAUUUCCUAUUAUAUCCAUCCAUCCCUGGACUCUUUGUAUCAGGAAUACUCCAUACGCAUUCUUGAUUUCCUCCUCUGAAAAAAGAAUAGACAAUUACUCUUGAUGAGAGUAAUCUAGAAGAAGACCUUCUCUGAUGAUAUUCAUGCCAAU